GUGUGUAUAUAUGACAGACAGGUAUGGGCUGAAAUAUGUGCCACCGGAAACUGAAUUUGAAUCAUUUAUAUUUGAAUUUGAAUGGCUAAACUUGAAUAAGUACAUUGA